rnacentral:rRNA from 1 species
GCAAGUCGAGCGCAGUCCUUCGAGACCGUGCGGCGGACGUGUUAGUAACGCGUCGGAACAUACCCUUCACUAAGUAAUAGCCUCUGGAAACGGAGAGUAAUACCUUAUACGCCCUUCGGGGGAAAGAUUUAUCGGUGAAGGAUUGGCCCGCGUUAGAUUAGAUAGUUGGUGAGGUAACGGCUCACCAAGUCGACGAUCUAUAGCUGGUUUGAGAGGAUGAUC